UUUAAUGAGAGUUUGAUCCUGGCUCAGGACGAACGCUGGCGGCGUGCCUAAUACAUGCAAGUAGAACGCUGAGGUUUGGUGUUUACACUAGACUGAUGAGUUGCGAACGGGUGAGUAACGCGUAGGUAACCUGCCUCAUAGCGGGGGAUAACUAUUGGAAACGAUAGCUAAUACCGCAUAAGAGUAAUUAACACAUGUUAGUUAUUUAAAAGGAGCAAUUGCUUCACUGUGAGAUGGACCUGCGUUGUAUUAGCUAGUUGGUGAGGUAAAGGCUCACCAAGGCGACGAUACAUAGCCGACCUGAGAGGGUGAUCGGCCACACUGGGACUGAGACACGGC
rnacentral:rRNA from 1 species